rnacentral:tRNA from 1 species
AGUCGUAUGGUCUAAUGGUUAUGAUUUCUCGUUCACAUAAAUGUGUACAAAGCCCCGAGAAGGUUCCGUGUUCGAUCCACGGUACGACUA